rnacentral:tRNA from 1 species
AGGCGUGUAGCUCAGUGGUAGAGCGCUGUUCCAACUUAACAGAGGUCAUUGUGUUCGAUUCCAAUCACGCCAACCA